UCUUUUUGCAGAGUAAAGGAUAUGUUUAUAUCAGUAGCGUUGCAGUAUUACUCCAUACACCAAGUUCAGAAUACAGUGGCAAUGUUACAGGCCUGCAGUUGAAUGACGCCCCACUUGCUAAGUCUUUCACUUGUGAAAACAGUGAAGUAGAGAUGGGAGAUGUGAUGAAGCUGGUGUUAGAGAAUAUCAGGAUGCAAGCUUUUGAUAUAAAAGAUGGACAGUUUGGCCAAGCUGAAGACUGCAAGACCAAGAAUAAAAAGAAGGUUGCACUUAUUGUGGGUAUUUGUGUCGUUGUCCUGAUUGUUGUCGGAAUUAUCAUUUAUCUGAUUUAUAGAAGGAAGAAAAUUUCUGGAUAUGAACGCAUCUAAACAAAGACAUAGCCAGAAAGAUUAAAAGAAAUGUCGCUCUCACAUGAUAAUUGAUUGGUUACAUUUUCUAGGAGGUGAAAGGGUAUAAAAGACUAGUAUUCUGGCACAUACACGUUCAAUGGGCCCAUGUCCAUAUAAUUUUUAUAUUACAUUGUUAGCUAGUAAAAGCUCCACCUUUUUUUCUGUAUAAAUUGCAUUGGGUUUCUGCUUUGCUUUCCAAUUGUUUGCUAAUGUAAUUCUUAAAUGACAAACCUAAAAAAUUAUUUCAUCCAAGAAGUGAUAAGUAAACAGGUAUACUUGACUUCAAAUUAAUGCAUAAUCUUUAAAACAAGCUAAUGCACUUCUAUCACAUAAUAUCAUAAUUCAAAUAUUGUUGUGCCUUAAAUGUAAAUAUUUUGCAGUGGAUUUCUUUGAUAAUUUUCUGUUUGAUGUGUUACAUAACUUUACACUGUGUAGCACACAUUCUUUGAAAUGAAAUGUACAGGUAAUCUUAAUCUACUGUGAUUUUUAUAUUAGCUGUAACACAUUUUUAUACAGUUUUAGGAAAAUGCAUGAUAUUUGUAGUAACUUCAUUAAUUUAGGAAACGGAAUCAAUUUGAAUGAUUUCAAGGAGUUUCUUUUAAUUACCACUUCCAGUAGUCCAUUACUGGCCUGUUAACUAUUCCUUUGCUUAUAGUUCAGGUAGACUGUAUAUUUGCUAGUAAUAAUUAUUUUUUUACAAAUGUGAUUGUGGCAGGGUAGAAGCCUUGAACUUGUCAUUCAUGGCUGUCAAAUCUAAUAAAAGUCGCUUACAUUCUUUGAUAAAA